rnacentral:rRNA from 1 species
UACCAUGCUGAAUAUAUCGGUUCUCGUUAGAUUACCGAAGUCAAGCAUCAUUGGGCGCGGUCAGUACUUGGGUGGGUGACCACCUGCGAGAACACCGCGUGCCGU